UACGUAGGGCGCAAGCGUUGUCCGGAAUUAUUGGGCGUAAAGAGCUCGUAGGCGGCUUGUCACGUCGGGUGUGAAAACUGGAGGCUCAACCUUCAGAGGUCGACCGAAACCAUCUGGCUAGAGUCCGGGAGAGGAGAGUGGAAUUCCUGGUGUAGCGGUGAAAUGCGCAGAUAUCAGGAAGAACACCCGUGGCGAAAGCGGCUCUCUGGAACGGUACUGACGCUGAGACGCGAAAGCGUGGGGAGCGAACGGG
rnacentral:rRNA from 1 species